AAAACCAUUUAAUGGGAUUGAAUAGUGCAUGUUGCAUCAGAAAACACAAAAGAUUUCUUUAAAGAAAUAUGAACAUCUGUCGCUGCUUUAGUUUCCAUUGUCUUAAUAUAGUGACUCCGUAGGAUAAAAAAUAUAUAGUGACCCAGCUGUCCAAAUGUGCAUCCAAAACAUCUACAAAGAUCAAAUACAUGUGUAUAUUUAUAUAUCUGAAAUCAAAUAGGCCUUGGAAAUUUCCUUGGGAUGUGGUAAUGAAUCUGCUUAGUUGCGUGCAUCAUAGCUCGCUUUUUAUCUUCAUCUGGUGAGGACAAUAAAUAGUCACCUAGUACAGGUACUUCAAAAGUAAAAAACAAAAUGUGUAAGAAAAGUUGGGUGAUGGUAAAAACAGAAACAUGCCAAUUCAGAUGGUACCAUAAUUUUUGCAGAAGAAUUCAACCUCUACUACAUUUAGUGACACAAUAUUGUACUCCCUCCGUUCCGAAAUAUAAAUCUUUUUAGACAUUUCAAAUGGACUACAACAUAAGGAUGUAUGUAGACAUAUUUUAGAGUGUAGAUUCACUCAUUUUGCUUCGUAUGUAGUCACCUAUUGAAAUCUCUAGAAUGACAUAUAUUUUGAAACGAGGGAGUACAAAAUUAGCGAGAAAAUAAGUAUCCAGAUGAUAUAAAAUAGUGAUACAGUUUGCUUAGUAAGGUAAGACCAGUCAAGAAAGAAGGCCUUUAAACUUAGCACGAUUGAAAUUUAGUUCACUAAUUAAACAUGGCACUCCAUGAGCAUUUUAUGAAUUCUAUACUUUCUAUCCAAAUUAAUAUUGUAAUAGUCAUGGUUUGGAAGUCGGAAUAACCUGUUCCAAAAGAACGACAUGUACGCUAAGUCAAACAAGUAUGACAAUGAAGAGAGAUGGUGAAAUGAAUCUUACCAAUUCCACAAAAUCGAACUGAAGCAAGUCAAUAACAAUCCGUAAUGACAAAAGAGGACAUGUUCUUACUCCUAUAGAUAGGGAAAUUAGCAAUCAUAUAAAAAUACCGAAGAUGAAGGUUAGAAAAAUAAAUAAGAAGUGAUCACUACUAAUGCUUAUCCGUUUGAGAACUUUCAAACAAUCUGUAUCAUGUUUCCCUGUUUCACAAUACUAUUGUUAGGCUCAUGCAGGACCAAUGACAAUGGACAGAAAAAAUAUGUUGAUAUUUCUUCAACAAUUUUUCAUAUCAUGUAAACAUUCUCGGGCAUGCAUAUAUCUCUACUCCUAUAAAAAUGCGAGUUGGUGAUGAUGAUGUGCCUACCUUCGUCCGUCUAAUCUAAGAUGUAAGUAUGAGCGUGAGACCAGUUGCCCCCGAGCAACUUAAGUUGCACUUUUGCAGAAACCACCCCGCACACCAGAAAGAGCUGGAAGUUCUCCUUCCUCCUCUCUCUCGCGAAAGAAAUUGAGUCUUCCAGAACUCCCAAAUCCCUCACCGCCGGUCAUUCCCCUCUCUUUCUCUGUGACCAUCCGAGUUGAGUUGGGUGAGGGUCCCUCCCCUUGUAUAGCUGUAGUUUUAGUUAGGGCCUCAACAAAUCAGAUAUGGCUUCGAGCUUGCCGAGCAUCUCUCCUUCUAGAUCUGGUCGUGCAACUCAUCCGAGACAAGGAGCAUAGCGGCGGUUGCUGCCAUGUCCAUGUAAGUUUGUUUUUCCUUGGUGGUUGUUGGGUUGAUUGAUUCUCUUUUGUGCAGGCUUUACUUCUCAACCUCCAACUCGAUGCUCUUUUUCUUGGAGCCUACCAGCGGUAGGAACACCAUGAGUAGGCCGCCAAGGAUUUUUGCUGGUGGCGAGCUGCUCGUUCAUGGCGGCGCUGGCGCCAACUACCCCGACCCUUUGUGUCCGCUCCCAACCACGCUCACCCCUCCAUAAGUUCGAGGGGAAGCCAAAAUAUGGUUUAGAUCAAGAGAAAAGAAUUGGACAAGAUAACACCAGUGAGGCAAUGCAUAGUUACCGCUAGAGGAAUUGGUUUUAAAAAUGUUUUUGGCACCCCCAAAUUUACCAAUGAUUGCAAUAGACCAGUUUCGACAUAUACUACUAUUAGAAGAUGAUACAACUUUUAUUACUGAAGUUGACAUCAAAAUUGGAAGUUGCAAGUCAUUGUAUGGUUCUAUAAAAUGCUGUUAGUUUGGUUUGA